rnacentral:rRNA from 1 species
UACAGAGGUCUCAAGCGUUGUUCGGAUUCAUUGGGCGUAAAGGGUGCGUAGGUGGCGCUGUAAGUCAGGUGUGAAAUUUCGGAGCUUAACUCCGAAACUGCAUUUGAUACUGCGGUGCUUGAGGACUGGAGAGGAGACUGGAAUUUACGGUGUAGCAGUGAAAUGCGUAGAUAUCAAGUGGAACACCAGUGGCGAAGGCGAGUCCCUGGACACUUACUGGCACUGAGGCACGAAAGCUAGGGGAGCAAACAGG